CCUACGGGAGGCAGCAGUGGGGAAUAUUGGACAAUGGGGGGAACCCUGAUCCAGCCAUGCCGCGUGUGCGAAGAAGGCCCUCGGGUUGUAAAGCACUUUCAGCGAGGAAGAACGCCUAGCGGUCAAUACCCGCUAGGAAAGACAUCACUCGCAGAAGAAGCACCGGCUAACUCCGUGCCAGCAGCCGCGGUAAUACGGAGGGUGCAAGCGUUAAUCGGAAUUACUGGGCGUAAAGCGCGCGUAGGUGGCUUGAUAAGCCGGUUGUGAAAGCCCCGGGCUCAACCUGGGAACGGCAUCCGGAACUGUCAAGCUAGAGUGCAGGAGAGGAAGGUAGAAUUCCCGGUGUAGCGGUGAAAUGCGUAGAGAUCGGGAGGAAUACCAGUGGCGAAGGCGGCCUUCUGGACUGACACUGACACUGAGGUGCGAAAGCGUGGGUAGCAAACAGGAUUAGAUACCCUGGUAGUCCACGCCGUAAACGAUGUCGACCAGCCGUUGGGUGCCUAGCGCACUUUGUGGCGAAGUUAACGCGAUAAGUCGACCGCCUGGGGAGUACGGCCGCAAGGUUAAAACUCAAAUGAAUUGACGGA
rnacentral:rRNA from 1 species